CAGUGUGUAUGUGCUAAGUCGCUUCAGUCAUGUCCGACUCUUUGCAGCCCUAUGGACUGUGGCCUGCCAGGCUCCUCUGUCCUUGGAGUUUUCCAGUGCCUCUGGUUGAAUUGACCAUCGUGUCACUAAAGCCACCUCGGAUGAGAGGAAAAGGGGAACCUGUAGGAAGGUCUCUGAGGAGGACUGCUCAGUUGGUAAAGAAUCCACCUGCAAUGCAGGAGACCCCGGUUCAAUUCCUGGGUCGGGAAGAUCUGCUGGAGAAGGG
ensembl:lncRNA